rnacentral:rRNA from 1 species
UACAGAGGUCUCAAGCGUUGUUCGGAUUCAUUGGGCGUAAAGGGUGCGUAGGCGGCGCGGUAAGUCGGGUGUGAAAUCUCGGAGCUUAACUCCGAAACUGCAUUCGAUACUGCCGUGCUUGAGGACUGGAGAGGAGACUGGAAUUUACGGUGUAGCGGUGAAAUGCGUAGAUAUCGUAAGGAACACCCAGGGGGAAACCAGCCGACUGGGCAGCAGCUGACGCUGAGGUGCGAGAGCGUGGGGAGCGAACCGG